CCUACGGGAGGCAGCAGUGAGGAAUAUUGGUCAAUGGGCGCGAGCCUGAACCAGCCAAGUAGCGUGAAGGAUGACUGCCCUACGGGUUGUAAACUUCUUUUAUAAAGGAAUAAAGUGAGGCACGUGUGCCUUUUUGUAUGUACUUUAUGAAUAAGGAUCGGCUAACUCCGUGCCAGCAGCCGCGGUAAGACGGAGGAUCCGAGCGUUAUCCGGAUUUAUUGGGUUUAAAAGGAGCGUAGAUGGGUUGUUAAGUCAGUUGUGAAAGUUUGGGGCUCAACCGUAAAAUUGCCAUUGAUCCUGGCAGCCUUGAGUACAGUUGAGGUAGGCGGAAUUCGUGGUGUAGCGGUGAAAUGCUUAGAUAUCACGAAGAACUCCGAUUGCGAAGGCAGCUUACGAAACUGCCACUGACAUUGAUGCUCGAAAGUGUGGGUAUCAAACAGGAUUAGAUACCCUAGUAGUC
rnacentral:rRNA from 1 species